UACGGAGGGAGCUAGCGUUGUUCGGAAUUACUGGGCGUAAAGCGCACGUAGGCGGCUAUUCAAGUCGGGGGUGAAAGCCCGGGGCUCAACCCCGGAACUGCCCUCGAAACUAGGUAGCUAGAAUCUUGGAGAGGCGAGUGGAAUUCCGAGUGUAGAGGUGAAAUUCGUAGAUAUUCGGAAGAACACCAGUGGCGAAGGCGACUCGCUGGACAAGUAUUGACGCUGAGGUGCGAAAGCGUGGGGAGCAAAC
rnacentral:rRNA from 1 species